AUUCUGUGUUCAACACCAGCUCAGACGAAAAAGACAUGUGUCAGACGCCGAACUGGAAACGGCAAUCAUGUCAUCGAUAGAUAAGACAGGUCCAUAUUACGGCCGAAAAUUCAUGACAGGAUACCUGUCAUCAGUGGGGGUAAGGGCAGGAGAAUCUCGAGUGGGAAACAUUCUCAGAGAGGUACACCAGCCAUAUAAUGAACUGCGUCGCCAAGGAGCACGCAAUCUGAAUCCAGUUCCUUAUCACGCCGAGUAUAUGGGUCACAAACUCCACCUAGACCAGAAUGAGAAGCUGGGAAUGUUUGGAGUGACACAUGUCUUAGCUAUUGAUGGAUUCAGCAGCAAAAUUGUUGCCGAAUCCACAAUGCCAGUGAAAAACAACCUUAUUGUUUAUGAAGAAGU